AUAGCUCGAAAGCCGCAUUUGCUCGCCACGCACUCGCCGAUUCUCUCGGCUUUUCGCGAGCGGGCUAAGGUCUGAGCGUUCUAGUCCCCUUGUACUUGUGUCUAGCUGGCACGGACCGUAACAGGUCGAGCAGAGCAUCAGACAUGCGCUCUCUGCUGUUCGUAUCGCCCAGAGAUCCGCAAGGGGAGGGCAUAACACAGGUCGAGCUUGGAACCACUCUGCGGGGACGGAGCCGUUUCGUUAGCUUGUCCCGUUUUAACCUCUUUCCCACCCAAAGCGCUAGCGCCGAGAGCUAGUGCACGACUUCCGUUAGGGAGUUGAAAUCAUGCAUCUGCUUUGCGGUGUAUGAUCUGGCUGGCUUUCUGAGCCGACUGGACCAAGGAAGAAUAAGCUGGACACUUGCUGCAGUUAAUGCUCCAGUGCCUAAUAGCUGUUCUUGCCUCCUCUCUCUGCACUUGUGUUCGCCCAUGGCGGAGAUAAGCAGGCCACGUAUAUGGUGGUUCGGUUGGCUGUGGUGAUCGAGGAGGUUGGGACGAGGCCGGACGGCUCUUUAGUUCACUUUGCGGCUCGCUUGUAUUCGCUUUUGGCGAUUUGCGAAACUCGAUUCAGACUACUCUUGGGCUGU
rnacentral:RNase_P_RNA from 1 species